ensembl:lncRNA novel transcript
AGGAAGUGAGGGCGCCGCGGACCUGUCCGGCCGUGCGCAUGCGCCGCACGCCCGCCCCGCAAGUUUAUCAACCUUUCUUAAUAAAGGAACGUCAGCCACAUCGCUGUUAAAGGCUAUAUAACACUCCGCUGUGCAGCUCAACCAUGAAGUGUUGAAUGAUUCUGGAGUUCAGCUGAAGGGAGGUUUCUUCAAUGUCAAUAAAGGAAAAGGCACAGGCACAGGAGGGCGCCACCUGAAGGAAGGGACAAGAUGCCAUAAAAUCAUAGAUGGCUCCAGAGGAACGGAAGGGAGAAAAAGGGUGGGCCGUUCACUUCUGAGCUUCACCCCACUGUGACCCCAAAACCUAUGGAGAGAAAUACCAUCAUUAGAAGACAAAAGGAUUUAAUGUGAAAUAUAAUGACAGAAGAACUAUUACCACCAAUAUCUCUGAUCAAUUGCUUAGUUUCUGCCAUUAUUACAGAAAGUGAUUUCUACCCAUUUAUAAUGCAAUCCUUACAACAUUAUGAAAGAUAUUUUAUUACUUCCCUGUUUUCAGAUGAGAAAAUGGAGGGACAAACAGUUCAAGUACUUUGCCAUAGGUUACAUACCUACGAGGAGGUGAACCAGGAUUCUAGACCAAGUCUUAGCUCCCUGCUUUGCAUAAAUCAUUCCACCUGCCUUGCUUCUCCAGCCCGUUUUCCUUUCUGUAAACAUUAACUAAAUCCCUCAGUGACCAAGCUCCACCUGAAAUACUACACUAAGGCUGGGCAUGGUGGCUCAUGCCUGUAAUCCCAGCACUUUGGGAGGCCGAGGUGGGCAGAUCAUUUGAGGUCGGGAGUUCGAGACCAGCCUGACCAACACAUAGAGAAACCCUGUCUCUACUAAAAAAAAAAAAAUACAAAAAUUAGCAGGGCGUGGUGGUGCAUGCCUGUAAUCCCAGCUACUCGGGAGGCUGAGGCAUGAGAAUCACUUGAACCCAGGGGGCAGAGGUUGAUUGCGCCAUUGCACUCCAGCCUGGGCAAAAAGAGCGAAACUCCAUCUUAAAAAAAAAUAAUAAUAAUAAUACACUACUCAUCUAUAAAACAGCCACAAUUAUCACCUACUUCACUGUGUUAUUGUGAGCACUGACUACAAUAAUAGGUAGAACUUAGGAAAUUGCCAAUUCCAACUGUCUUUGGCUAUAAAAAGCAACAAUUACAUAGGAAACAUAAUCAGUAAAAGUUUGGGUAAAACUUAAAUGUUUGGUAAACUCUUAAAUAAAUGUAUGUACCUGAUUAUCUUGGCUUUUGACAUUUGCUUUUUUUUCUUUUAAUUUGAGAGUUUGGGGCAUUUUUGUUGACAAUUGCUGUUUUAAUAUUCAAACUCGCAAAGUUGUGUAUGAUAGAAGCUGACAGUCAGACCCCGGGCUUGGUCAGCCUUAAGUUUUAAUCCCUUCAUUUUCUCAUCUAUAAAAUAAAGACAGUGUCCGGGCACUGUGGCUCACGCCUGUAAUCCCAGCACUUUGGGAGGCCAUGGCAGACGGAUCACCUGAGGUCAGGAGUUCGAGACCAGCCUGGCCAGCAUGGCAAAAGCCCAUCUCUACUAAAAAUACAAAAAUUAGCCAGACGUGGUGACGUGCACCUGUAAUCUCAGCUACUUGCGAGGCUGAGACAGGAGAAUCACUUGAACCCAGGAGGUGGAGGUUGCAGUGAGAAGAGAUCACGCCACUGCACUCCAGCCUGGGUGACAAAGCAAGACCAUCUCAAAGAAAAAAAAAAAAAUGAAGAAACUAAUGGUACUCAUUGUCAGAUGUAAAUUAUUUCAUGUAGAGUACUUAGCACAGGGCACAGAAAAUUUAAGAGCUCAGUAAAUAUUAACAUUUUCUAUUACUUAUUAUUAUUGUUUUUAUUAACAGACUUGCUUUCAUUAAGAUGCUGUUGGUAUAAAGCUGCCCACUGCAGCAUUAUUUAUAAUAAAAGCCAGACACAAAUUAAAUUUCCCACUAUAGGGAAAGGGCAUAGUAGGAUUCUGAAAGAACCAUCUUUAGAAUUAAUGAAAAUCACUUUAAUUACAAUGUAAGCCCCUGCUUUGCUACUUGGGGGCAGUACGAUUUUGAGCAAGUCAUUUAUUUUCUCUGGACCUGUUUCCUCACCUCAGAAAUGAAGGGUUUGCUCUCAAUGACUCCCAUGUCUUCUCAUGAUUUAAAGUUACAUAGUCCUGGCCAGACAGGGUGGCUCACGCCUAUAAUCCCAG